ensembl:lncRNA
AACCAGGACUAAACCAGGUCUAAACCAGGACUAAACCAUGACUAAACCAGGACUAAACCAGGUCUAAACCAGGUCUAAACCAGGACUAAACCAGGACUGAACCAGGACUAAACCAGGACUAAACCAGGACUAAACCAGGACUAAACCAGGACUAAACCAGGACUAAACCAGGACAAAACCAGGACUAAACCAGGACUAAACCAGGACUAAACCAGGUCUAAACCAGGACUAAACCAGGACUAAACCAGGUCUAAACCAGGACUAAACCAGGACUAAACCAGGACUAAACCAAGACUAAACCAGGACUAAACCAAGACUAAACCAGGACUAAACCAGGUCUAAACCAGGACUAAACCAGGUCUAAACCAGGUCUAAACCAGGACUAAACCAGGAAUAAACCAGGACUAAACCAGGACUAAACCAGGACUAAACCAGGACUAAACCAAGACUAAACCAGGACAAAACCAGGACUAAACCAGGACUAAACCAAGACUAAACCAGGACUAAACCAGGACUAAACCAGGACUAAACCAGGUCUAAAACAGGACUAAACCAGGACUAAACCAAGACUAAACCAGGACUAAACCAGGUCUAAACCAGGACUAAACCAGGUCUAAACCAGGUCUAAACCAGGACUAAACCAGGACUAAAACAGGACUAAACCAGGACUAAACCAUGUCUAAACCAGGA